rnacentral:rRNA from 1 species
UACGGAGGGUGCAAGCGUUGUUCGGAAUUACUGGGCGUAAAGGGCUCGUAGGCGGCCAACUAAGUCAGACGUGAAAUCCCUCGGCUUAACCGGGGAACUGCGUCUGAUACUGGAUGGCUUGAAUCCGGGAGAGGGAUGCGGAAUUCCAGGUGUAGCGGUGAAAUGCGUAGAUAUCUGGAGGAACACCGGUGGCGAAGGCGGCAUCCUGGACCGGCAUUGACGCUGAGGAGCGAAAGCCAGGGGAGCAAACGGG